GAUGAACGCUGGCGGCGUGCCUAAUACAUGCAAGUUGAGCGAUGAGACUUGGUACUUGUUCCUAUUGCAUGAGCAGCGAACGGGUGAGUAACGCGUGGAGAAUCUACCUUUGAGCCGGGGAUAACUUCUGGAAACGAAUGCUAAUACCGCAUAAAAACUUUAAACACAUGUUUUAAGUUUGAAAGACGCAUUUGCUUCACUCAAAGAUGAUCCCCCCGUCGCUUAACUUGUUGGUGAGGUAAAGGCCCACCCAGGCGAUGAUACAGAGCCGACCUGAGAGGGAGAUCGGGCAAAAUGGGACUGAGAAACGGACCAAACUUCUACGGGGAGGAGCAGGAAGGAAAUGUUGGGAAAGGAGGAAAGGCUGGACGAGCAAAGCCGGGGGAGGGGAUGAAGGUCUCCGAACGUAAAAAUCAGGUGGUAAGGGAGAAAGAAGGUGGGAGUGAAAAGCGCAUGAAGUGACGGUAACUACACAGAAAGCGACGGCUAACUACGUG
rnacentral:rRNA from 1 species